GGCCAACCCACCGGCCAUCUUCUCCAGUCGAAACCGGCCUGCCUCUCUCUAUGUUCCUGUACUAGUGAGAAUGAAUUAACAAAUGAAGAUGAGGAUGCAGCUGAUGCAGAAGGCGACCAUUGUGGAUCAUCACAAAGUAAUCGUUAAGUGACGUACGUAUACUUGACCUGUUAGGUUGAGUACGUAUUUGACACCAAAUGCUAAGCGAACUCGUUGAUAUAUUUUAUUUCAUAUGUAAUAAACAAUU